rnacentral:rRNA from 1 species
UACGUAGGUGGCAAGCGUUGUCCGGAAUUAUUGGGCGUAAAGCGCACGUAGGCGGCUUUGUAAGUUAGAGGUGAAAGCCUGGAGCUUAACUCCAGAACUGCCUUUAAGACUGCAUCGCUUGAAUCCGGGAGAGGUGAGUGGAAUUCCGAGUGUAGAGGUGAAAUUCGUAGAUAUUCGGAAGAACACCAGUGGCGAAGGCGGCUCACUGGACCGGUAUUGACGCUGAGGUGCGAAAGCGUGGGGAGCAAACAGG